GGGCAAUUAGCUCAGUUGGUAGAGCAUCUGACUUUUAAUCAGGUGGUCGCAGGUUCGAAUCCUGCAUUGCCCACCA
rnacentral:tRNA from 1 species